rnacentral:lncRNA from 1 species
AAUGAUAUGUGUUAGUUUGAUUUAUUAGUGGAUAAUGAUGUGAACACUUUGCAUGGCGGGGUAAUGUAUUAGUGGAUGUUGAUGUGGACGCUUUGCAUGGCAAGAGAAUUAGUUAAUGGGAUGCUCUAGUGGAUGAUGAUGUGGAUGCUUUGUAUGUUAAGAGAAUUAGCUAGUGGGGUUUAUCUAUAUAAGAGAUAUAGAUACCAUAAGAUACUGGAUUUUCUGGUUCGUAAAAAUCUCGCAGACCAAGCUUAUCUAUGUCUUCUAAUCAUUAUCAUUAGUAAAUAAAUUAAGAAUUAUUAGUAUAUUAUAUUAUUACUUAGUAGUUA